CAGCUCAGGGCCAGGCUCAAUGUGGGCGGAGUCAAACGUGCUUAACCCGAACCCUUCCAGUCUCCUUCAACGUCGAAGGUCAACGAAAGCGGAUCUUAAUUGAACCUAACCAACAUGGAUAAAAAUAUAAACCAUGGAAGGCCUAUCAAAGCAAGGUUUCUCAAACAACUGGUGUGUUUGUUUUGAUGUACACUCUGUACAUUGCAAUGGAAGCACAGUGUGAUUUCACUGAGGUAUGUAUAAAUUAUGAAAUUCUCAUCACUAGGGGAUAUGUUUUUUUUGGGAUACCCUUCCAAUUGUGUGAUUUUCUGUUUCAAAAGGAAACCAUGCAGCAAAUUAGGCGAUGGUGGUGUCUAGUUCCCCUGCAGAACUUUCCCAUGCUGCAAGUCUUUAAUAGUAUAAAAACUUUUCAUUUGCAUCCUUAAAAUCACUAGUUUCACUGUCAGCCAGACUGACCUGAAUAUAUUUUCAUAUUGAAUGUACAGUUGAAGUGAGAUGUUUACAUACACUUAGGUUGGAGUCAUUAAAACUAGUUUCAACCACUCCACAAAUUUCUUGUUAAUUAACAAACUAUAGUUUUCACAAUUCGGUCAAUUUGUGCAUGACACGGCCUCCCGGGUGGCGCAAUGGUUAAGGGCGCUGUACUGCAGCGCCAACUGUGCCAUCAGAGUCCCUGGGUUUGCGCCCAGGCUCUGUCGUAACCGGCCGCGACCGGGAGGUCCGUGGGGCGACGAACAAUUGGCCUAGCGUCGCCCGGGUUAGGGAGGGCUUGGUCGGUAGGGGUGUCCUUGUCUCAUCGCGCACCAGCGACUCAUGUGGCGGGCUGGGCGCAGUGUGCGCUAGCCAAGGUGGCCAGGUGCACGGUGUUUCCUCCGGCAUGACCUUUUCUCCACUAAUAUAACAUCAAACAAACAUUCUUAUCUGUCUGAAAAGAUAUGCCCUCCUUCUCCCUUUCCCGCAAGGUACAGACAAUUAAUUUGUUUUACUUACAUUUUCAGUAACAGCUUAACCAAGAACUCAUACAUUUCAUACCAUAACAUAAUAGUAUUAAAAUCCAUUUCAAAAAGGAUUUUUAAGCCCUGAGACAACUCAAAUCAAACUGAGACAUGGAUUGUGUAUGUGUGUCAGAGGGUGAAUGGGCAACAAGUUUAUUUAUUUACCACGUUUUCUCCCCAAUUUCGUGGUAUCCAAUUGGUAGUUCAAAUCUUGUCUCAUCGCUGCAACUCCCGUACAGACUCAGGAGAGGUGAAGGUCGAGAUCCGCAGAUCCUCCGAAACCAAACCCAACCAAGCCGCACUGCUUCUUGACAAUGCCCACUUAAACCAGAAGCCAGCCGCACCAAUGUGUCGGAGGAAACACCGUGCACCUGGCGACUGUGUCAGCGUGCACUGCAUCCGGCCCGGCACAGGAGUCAUGAGUUCGCGAUGGGACAAGGACUUCCCUGCCGGCCAAACCCUCCUCUAUCCUGGGCGACGCUGGGCCAAUUGUGCACCGCCCCAUGGGUCUCCUGGUCGCGGCCGGCUGAGGCAGAGCCUGGACUCAAACCCAGAAUCUCUCUACAGCCAACACUCCAAUACAGUGCCUUGCGCCACUCGGGAGGUGAACACAAACAUUUUAAGUGCCUUUGAAUGGGGUAUGGUAGUAGGUGCCAGGUGCACCGGUUUGAGUGUGUCAAAAACUGGAACACUGCUGGGUUAUCCACGCUCAACAGUUUCCCGUGUGUAUCAAGAAUGGUCCACCACCCAAAGGACAUCCAGCUAACUUGAUACUGUGGGAAGUA